GGUCCAGGCCAUAUCCUGGUGAAAAUACCGCUUCCCGUCCCAUCAGUCAUAGUCUAGCACCAGAGAGCCCAGUUGGUACUGUUUUGGGAGACCAUACGAGAAUCUCCGGUGCUGCAAUCU
rfam:Yarrowia lipolytica strain CLIB122 chromosome D complete sequence.